rnacentral:tRNA from 1 species
CGGGGCGUAGCUCAGCCUGGUAGAGCGCUUGCUUCGGGAGCAAGAGGCCGGAGGUUCGAAUCCUCUCGCCCCGACCA